UUUGAUGACGGCAUGUGGGUUUUCUUUGGCCACUCGGUAAUGAAGACAGGAGCAAAUUACAACGGUUUCACCACCUUCCCAUUUAAACCCAGGAUACGGGAUACAACCCCCGAUUUAUACCUGGUACCCAUGUACUGCUGGGUGGGCUGGGGCGUGGAGUAUAGGGAAAAAUCGCCCAAACAUUUUCCACUCCACCCAGGAUUUGAACCCGGGCCCUCUGGGUUGUAAGCAUAAGCAUAAGCUUUAUAUGGUCAAUGUAAUUUUGUCUUACCAAAGAUAAGUGGAGAUAAGACAACAUUACACUACCAGGGUGUGUCUUGUAUUGUUAAAUGAUGAGAGAGACAUUAAAAUCAUGCCUUCAAUAAUUUACUUUAAGAAUUUUUGGAAAAGUCCAAAUCAUGGUGAACUACAUCUAUUUUGUACAAGGAAGAGUCAUUUAAAUCAAAGUCACUUGUUAUUGCAUGCAUAUAAAGAAAAUAUUGUCAUAUUUCCAGAUUUUCUCUUCAAAGACAAUGAAAUUGACUCCAGUGUUGUAGUUGUACGAUAGGCUUUGUGUUUAUAGAUUUGUAAUGCGUGUUUCAUUUUCAGGAUGAUUUGGAGCUUGAGGUUGAGGAAGAAGAUCUAAUUCCUGCAGAUGAAAGCACUGACACAAACUGUUCAAUUGAAGAUUUUGUUAGUUUGCCCACCGCUGAAGAGGUUUCAUUGUUUGUGCAAGAUCAGAACCAGAAGCGUCAGGAAUUACACGUCAAGGUAGCUUACUAAAUCCUUAUAUCUGUACUUUGUUAUUUCAUCAUUACCUGUUUUCCUGGGACACAUAUUUAUGGCCUGUAAAUGUCUUUAACAAUGUUCUGUUUUUCUUGUAUAUUUUCUUAAAACUGCGCAAGAAAAGCAGACAAAUGAUUAUAACAAAAGAAAGAAGAAGGAGUCAAGACUUAAUGAACUCAGUCUUGGGAUGCUGGUCCUCCAAAGAAAUCUAAGGAAUGAGUCAUCGGAAGGGUGAUAAGAUGGAACCCAAGUGGACUGGUCCAUACAAAAUUCUGGAUAUAGACUCAAAUCAGCGAGUGGGCUUAGAAAUUGCAAAGAAUGGCAAAAAACUCAACAGACGUGUUCCCUACAACGAGCUACGGCCAUAUCUCCACAGUCAGCUGCAUGAUGCAAGGUUUGUAUGCUAUGCCUUCAGGUAAAGUGAAGGUUCUGUAGUUAUGGUAAGAUAAGGUUCUGUAUAAUACUACAAUUGAAAAACUCACUUUUGAUAUUUCUGCAAGUCCGUAAACUCUCCUACAUUUAUCCUUUCCACAAACCAUUUUAAUGUUCUACUUUUCUUCGAUACCCCACUUCACAUUUAUUAGAUUCCUUCAUGCUAACCAUCUAUCCACUUUCCUUGCUCACAAUAUCCCACUUUGUCACCCAACAUAGACCUCUCAGAUAACAACAUUUUGUACUUCAGGUCGACUACUGGGCUGAAACAUCAUGAUGUAUCAGCUGGGCUGAAACAUCAUGAUGUAUCAGCUGAUGCGGAAAAUCUGGUGACAGUUCAGCAGUUUGAUGUCUGCUUAGCCCCAAGCCAUGAAGAUCCGCAUCUAGCAGCGAGGGAGAUCUCCAAAGGAAAAUGAUUGAAUGAUAAACACAUUGAUCAUGCCCAGUAUUUGCUUAGGAAGACUUUUCCUACUAUCUCUGGUUUCCAGUCAACUAUUCUAUUUGAAAGUAAAGAUUGUGUGCAUAUUAAAACUCCAAAAGCUGCAUUUGUCCAAAUUUUAAAUAUACACAGUAACCAUUAGCUUACAGUCAGUAACAUUUAGAGUAAUAGUAACAUAAUAAAAAUUUAUGACAGCUUGAAAAGCAGUCAACUGCAAACCAGUGAGAAGUUUAAUCGCCAUGUGGCUUCCUUGAUGGACUGUCAAAGUACCUCAAUUAGAGAAGAGUUUGGAAGUAUCAAGCAACAAAGAUGACCUUCAGAUUGUGGUUCAUUUGCCAUCGCGUGUACCACAAGUCUUUGUUUUGGCCUGUCACCAGAGACACAAAAUUUUAUUCAGGGUGAGAUGAGGAGCCACCUUGCAAAAUGCUUUUUGCAAGGUGUAAUGAGCCCAUUUCCUGUUUGUCAACCAAACCUAACCCUAGCAUAUAACGGCUAUUAUGAUAUUAUCCUAUGCUGUAAAUGUAGAAUUCCACAGUUUUCAGGAAAUAGUUUUAUUCAAUGUCUGUUAUGUAAUCGCCAAUUUCAUUUAAAGUGUGAUAAGACUGAUUGUAAACUGUUUAUUUGCAGUGACUGUACACAGGAACAAGGCUUGGUAUUGUAAGCUUUCUGAAAAAAAGUGUAAAACAUACUUUAUUGCCAAACAUUUGACAAAUGAGCCAUUAAAAAAAAAAAUGUUUUUGGUUUCUAAAUACCAUUAGAUCACGGGCAAACAUUGAGUGGUUUAGCAACCAGGGCUAUGACAAAAAACCCACCAGGCAAUAAUACACCUGCAAAUAUCUAAGGAGGACAAAAACUCACUGAAAUAGAAUGUAAUUUUAUUUUCAAAUAUGUCAGAUAUGUUUGAAAAUGGUAUACAUAUUUAUGUAUGAGAACUUGUUUAAAACAAGAUUAUUUGAAAUAUGAUAUUAAAAACCUGGUUCAUUAAUGGAGUUAUUCAAAACAAAGUGAACUCCAGGGUUUAAAAAUGGAUACUCUGCCAAACAGCUCGAAGGAAUUCCUCUGUCAAUUUCCUGUAUAUAAACUCUUUAUACGUCCCUGAAGUCGACCAUAGUUUCUCUUGGUUUUUUUCUCUGGAGGCUCCCCUCUGUCAUCUUCCAGUAUCAUGGUUUUCAUUAAGGUUUUAUCCUUCCUAAUGUUAUCAAUGACUAACUAGCUGCUUGAAUGAUGAAUUUCAGGUACUGCCAGCUUGCAUGGCAGCUUUCUGAAAAUUAGUACAAUGCGUGUGGGUCUGGUGUAAACACAAGUCUUUCACACCCAUCUAUACAUCACUUUUAAACAGUUCUUCAAAUAUAAUUUGACUUUUAUUUAUUCAUAGUUUGAAGCACAAGUGUUUUUACUCUCAUUAGAUAUUGCUUGGUGAGUUUUUGUACUCCUUAGAUAUAUUUCAGUGGCUUUUUAUCCGUUGAGUUUUUGUCUAGAGAAUUUAUGUCCGCGCCCUUUAGUAACCAUGACACCCUCUCCAUGAAGGGCUAACAUGCCAUAGCUAGUGCUCAGAAUAAUUUUUCAAAUUACAU
rnacentral:lncRNA from 1 species